AACGAACGCUGGCGGCGUGCCUAACACAUGCAAGUCGAGCGGGAAAGUUCCCUUCGGGGAGCGAGUACAGCGGCGAACGGGUGAGUAACACGUAGGUAACCUACCCUGGAGAUCGGGAUAACCUGCCGAAAGGCGGGCUAAUACCGGAUAAGACCACGAGGGCUGCGGCCCUUGAGGAAAAAGAUGGCCCCUGCUUGCAAGCUAUCACUCUGGGAUGGGCCGUGCGCGCCAUUAGCUAGNGGUGAGGUAACGGCUCACCAAGGCUGAGAU
rnacentral:rRNA from 1 species